CACGGGGGGAGCAAGCGUUGUUCGGAAUCACUGGGCGUAAAGGGCGUGUAGGCGGUCAGGUAAGUGAGACGUGAAAUGCCCCGGCUUACCCGGGGACCUGCGUCUCAUACUGCUUGGCUUGAGUUCGGGAGAGGGAAGCGGAAUUUCGGGUGUAGCGGUGAAAUGCGCAGAUAUCCGAAGGAACACCGGUGGCGAAGGCGGCUUCCUGGACCGACACUGACGCUGAGGCGCGAAAGCUAGGGGAGCAAACGGG
rnacentral:rRNA from 1 species